ACCUCCAGCCAUUUCCGGGUUGUCAGUCCGUGGACGUGCAUGAUAAUUGUGUGAUGAGACACAGAAAAGAUAAUGCGCCUUUAACUGUGUGCUGACAUGUAGCAACUAAAGGAGGUUUUCGCCGGUAAGCCAUGGAUCUGAGCAUGAAGUCCUACGGUGACCCAGAUGAGGUGUGUGUGUUUCCAUCAGCUGGCUGUAGCACUGAAGAACA